rnacentral:misc_RNA from 1 species
GGACAUUGAAGAUCUGGGUGAGAAGGUCACCUAUUGCAGGUGUUGGCGAUCAAAGAAGUUCCCCCUGUGUGAUGGCAGCCACAACAAGCACAAUGAGGAGACCGGGGACAAUGUAGGCCCCCUGGUGCUUAAGAGGAAGAGCUAAGACACCCAACAAAGGGCCACAACUUGCAGUGUGUGAGGUCAUCUGAUUGUUGUGUACCGGUACUUUGCAGACAUUAUCCAGAUCUAAUUCUCAGUUUGUGUGGAUGUGUGACAGGGUGGGUUAUCUGCCUCAGAAGUUUUGUAUUUUUUUUCUUUUAAAUAAAAAUGACCAAAAUUUGUACUUUUGCAGUGCAUUGUUACUGAAGUCAUCAGUUAUAUUUAUAUAAAAUAAAAGUUUUAAAUUU